UACAGAGGGUGCAAGCGUUAUCCGGAAUGAUUGGGCGUAAAGCGUCUGUAGGUGGCUUUUUAAGUCCGCCGUCAAAUCCCAGGGCUCAACCCUGGACAGGCGGUGGAAACUACCAAGCUGGAGUACGGUAGGGGCAGAGGGAAUUUCCGGUGGAGCGGUGAAAUGCGUAGAGAUCGGAAAGAACACCAACGGCGAAGGCACUCUACUGGGCCAUCACUACACUGAGAGACGAAAGCUAGGGGAGCGAAUGGG
rnacentral:rRNA from 1 species